GGGAUUGUGGCUCAGUAGUAGAGCACUUGCCUUAUAUGUGUGAGGCACUGGGUUCAAUUCUCAGCACCA
rfam:Ictidomys tridecemlineatus contig101624, whole genome shotgun sequence.